rfam:Aspergillus niger supercontig An12
GGCAAGGUGGUCGAGUGGUUUAAGACGUAAGACUUGAAUCUGGAUUGGACGAUUACCUGAGACACGGUGAUUGUUCUGUAACAGACGACAUCUUAUACCUUCGGGUGCGCGUGUUCGAAUCACGUCCUUGUCG